GUCAUCAACACAACAAUGCGCCAAUACAUAUUCCACCGGUUGUAAAGUCGUUUAUUGAAUCCAAAAAUGUUACUCUUUUGAACUGGCGACCAUACUCGCCGGACCUAAACAUUAGUAAAAAUGUUUGGAAAUGGCUGGCCAGAAAGUUUGUUUAGUCUUGUAAACAGCUGUCAAUAAAAACAAAAUUAAUUAAAGCCACUCAGCGAUCGUGCGCUACUAUUUUUCUUGAUUACAUUGGAAGUUUGGAUAACUCGCGGCGUAAACAGGGGAACUGAACGCAUUACUAAAAUGGCUGAUUUCAAUUCAAAUUCAUUUAAAAUUUCAUUUUAAACAAUAAUAAGUUUUUCGAAUACAUUAUCAUUCUGUUAAGGGAAGUUGCACUGUGUCUUUAAAAAACUAUUGUGCGCCUUUUACUGGUUAUAGUGUACAAGCCUACAUCAAGCAAGCCAAUAACCGUCAGAAAUUUGGAUUAAUUCCCUAAUUCUAAGUAUUUCAACUUGGCAUCUGGUGUUACGUAUUCUCCCUCGCGUACUUCGAGUCACUUUGCACAACUGCCGGACUAUAAUCCGGAGAUCCUUUUUGGUGAGAUUUAAACAGUCCUUUGUGUGGGUUGGGUUUGCGAAUCUCCUGAAAUUGUUUUGCUUUGCUUCCCCGAUCGCAUUGUCAGACAAUACCAUUGCAUUUUGCUUGGUUGAAGAGCCUUCUAAUAUAUGUCAGGCUGCAUGGGUUCUUAUUCUAUGAGGGUAUAUAACUUCUGAAGUGACCAUCUUAAUCGAAUAAUUGGGCUUAUAUCCCACUUAAAUACAUUCAUUCAUCAUUAUUUCCAGUUCUAAUUUACUUCUUAUGUCCCUACUCACCUCUAGAUGAGUUAUGUUGCUGCUCAUGUAUCUUAGGUAGGAAUCUUAAUCUAUUUUCCUGGGAUCCACUAUUGCCUUUCCUAUUUCAGAAAUGCCCACAAAGCCAAAUGAAAUUAUUUUUUAAACCAACAUAGAAAGCUCAUCAAAAAUCCUAACUAGUCCAUUCAUAAAAAUUUUAGCUAGAAUUAUAUCUAGCAGCUCAUGUUACUCCGGUGGAACGUGACAGCCCGGCAGAUAACUCCCUGAAAUGACUAUUUUAAGCUGACAGCCCAACAUUGGGCCGCAGAUCUCCAGUGAAAAACUCUAAAAGACGUAAAUACUUUAAAUUGCAUUUCAGGAUAGUUAAAGUUAUUGGUUUUUCACAAAACGUAUACUAAAUGGCCUACAAUAUUUCUUCUUGCAGACAAUGGAUCUGUACCCGUUCGUGAUCCAACACUAUUAAAAUUAAAUGAAAUAAUCGUUAAAAUUAAAGACACGACUUCCAUCGUUAGUAAAAUUUUCUACUAAGGCAUAUAUAAAUGUUCCAGGAACAAUUUGUUCCCUUCGAAAGUGCAACGCGUCUGUUAAAAAUUAUCAGAAAUAAAACUGACUUACUUUACUUAUUUAUAUACUUUAUUUUGUAAAAAUGUAUCUUUAUCUAACUCGCUACUUAAUUGCGUGAAUCUAAAACACUUGCUACUUGCUUUAACACCUGCAUUUUGUGGAUAUUUAUUCGGUGACCGUCUUCCAUCAUGUGUUUGGUCACCUUGGUUCUAAAUAGACUUUCUAUUAUUUUUCCUUGCUAUUUUCGCUACCCUUAAGUGUCCCGUGAACCGUACAGUAACCAACCUCUUUGUGAGCUUUUGGAUACUUGGGGCAAAUAAUCUUAUAGAUUCACACAUUUUUGUUAGGUUUUUUGGUUUGCUUAGUAUGAUAGGUUUCGGUAGAUCUAGCAUAUUGUGAAUUGCUGUGAGUACAGUGUAAUCAGAUUGUUCAUUUUUUGCUAUUUUUUUCCUCGUCAUGGAUUCGAUCGUACCACUGUCACCCGGUUUUUGGUACUGUAUCUAUAAUACAGUCAUUCUCUGUUCUGUUAAAUUUUCUGAUGAUAGGGGGAUGGUCAAUAGUCGAUGGGCCAAUAUAUGGUAUGCUGACCUUUUUUCUUGGUCGUUUUCGGGGUUAUACUUUGUGUGUUGGUUGCCAGUAAAUCUCUAAAGAAAUGUCCAUUAUAAUGUCCCAUUAGAACGCGUAUUCAUUAUAUCUAGAAAUUAUAAUUCACCGUUUUCUCAACUUCUUUGUGAGUUUUACCUUUGGAUGCAUUGCGUUAGUUGUGUUUUAAAUGUUACUCAAAUUAACUUGCGGGGCAAUUCACGUUUCACAUUUCUGAUAGGAUUUUCUUCUGUUCCAUUGAUAACAUGAAUCUCUCCCGUGAGCCGAUUCUCCAUAGCUACCCCAUAAAGUAGUUUUAAAAUACCUGAAAUAGCUUUUGUUCAUGCAUAGGGCUACCAAUCCCAUUUAUUGUCUUCUCUUCUUUCUCCAGUUUAUCGAAGCAAGAAACGCAGUAGCCAUUCUUCAAAUUUUGCUAGGGCUUCUUUAAACGUGUGUUCAGAAACAAGACCCUCAUUUAAUACCUACUGCAGUCUUUCAAUGAUCUAUAGGAAAUUUUCAACCAUGGACUUCCUAUCAUACAUUCCAAAAUCAGUCACUUCACGAUAUCAUAUUUAAACAAAUGAGAGUUCGAAUUAAUUUCCCUCGUUUCAUAACCUUCCUUGUGGGUAACGAAGGGCAUUCGCAUGCGUUAAUAGAAAAUGUUGUGUCGAAAACAGCAUACAUAAUUUAAAUUCUUUAUUAUUCCAAGAUCACUCCUAGCAGUCGUCCUCGCAAGUAUGAUGGCCGCCAAACGCCUCUCCUGGAGCCUCCGCAUUUUAACUUUAGGAGGCGUCGUCAUAUUUGUGAAAGUUUAUUCUAUACACGAAAAAAUGUUUGUUCAUUGUAUAGUAUAUCAGAACUUUGAUCUGAUAUGAACAAAAGACCAAGCAAAAACAUGAGAGUAUGGGCAUUUCCGAAAUCCACAUUGGAACUAGUACCUUUGCCAUAGAUGUGAGCCGUUAGUCAAUUCUCUGCCAAGGUACUGAGGAGUAACUAUUAAAAGUUACGGUGAACAAUCGGCAUUUACGUUCUAUUUCAACUUUCUACGUUCUCAUAACGUAGAAGCAAUUUCAAUUUCAAAAAGACUCUUUCAGAAGAAAAGUCAUCAUAUAAGAAAACGGGAGAGGUGAUGGCAAAUCCCUGAUAAUAAUCGUUAGCAUCGAACAACCUUGAAAGAAAGGCAACCGUAGAAUGAUAGUAUUUAAAAUUAUAAAUCCACUUUAACACACAGAUCUGUAAUGAAAGCAGCAACUGACAUCAUAACAUCAUAGAAAUUUACUAAUCUCAGAGAAAUGAUAACAACAAAUUACAUGAAAACCACAAAGUAAAACACUAAAUGCAUACUAUAAAAUAGUGAUGUAAGCCUUUAUCGACAUGUAAGUGAUAAAAUAAUUAGAUCUUAGGAAGUUGUGUGAGCUAUUUACAAGGUAUAUAUAUGGUAAUAAAAGUUAAUAAAGAAACAACAAA
rnacentral:lncRNA from 1 species